rnacentral:rRNA from 1 species
UCAGACGAUGCGUCAGGCAUAUCAAUAAGCGGAGGAAAAGAAACUAACAAGGAUUCCCUUAGUAACGGCGAGUGAAGCGGGAAGAGCUCAAAUUUGAAAUCUUCAAGGUUUUACCUUGACGAAUUGUAGUUUAAAGAAGUGUUUUCUGUUGAAGUUUUGGUAAAAGUUCUUUGGAAUAGGACAUCAUAGAGGGUGAGAAUCCCGUAUUUGACCAUUAUUUUCAGCUUUGUGAUACACUUUCAAAGAGUCGGAUUGUUUGGGAAUGCAGUCCAAAAUGGGUGGUAAAUUUCAUCUAAAGCUAAAUAUUGGCGAGAGACCGAUAGCGAACAAGUACCGUGAGGGAAAGAUGAAAAGAACUUUGAAAAGAGAGUUAAACAGUACGUGAAAUUGUCAAAAGGGAAGCGUUUGACACCAGUGUUGUUUUCUCGAAAAUCAAUUAAAAAUGAGUUAGAUUUUGUUGUGUAUUGACCUUAACAGCUUGCACUGUACAUUUUUCGUGUCUUUUUUAAUGCACUUUUCGUUUAACAAGUCAACAUCAGUUUCUCUUGUUGUAAAAAGGGUCAUUGGAAGGUGGCUUUCUUUUCGGAGAAAGUGUUUAUAGCCUUUGACUCCUGCAAUCGGAGAGACUGAGGUCUGCAGCGUAGAUCCUUCGGGGUUAGAUACAUUUGUGCUAAGUUAUAGCUUUUUAUAGACAACUUGUUGACUAUGAUUAGUCUUGUAGCUUACUCGCUUAUGCUAUUUUACCUACGCUUAGGAUGUUGAGUCGUAGAGCACGCAG